rnacentral:rRNA from 1 species
GACGAACGCUGGCGGCGUGCCUAAUACAUGCAAGUCGAACGCUGAUUUUCUAACUAAUGCUUGCAUUGACUUGAAAAUCGGAGUGGCGAACGGGUGAGUAACACGUAUCCAAUCUACCCUUAGGUUGGGGAUAACUGGUCGAAAGACUAGCUAAUACCGAAUAUCAAUACUCCUAUCGCAUGAGAAAGUAUUGAAAGAUCCUUUUGGAUCGCCUUUGGAUGAGGGUGCGGCAUAUCAGAUAGUUGGUGAGGUAACGGCUCACCAAGUCAAUGACGUGUAGCUGUACUGAGAGGUAAAACAGCCACAAUGGGACUGAGACACGGCCCAUACUCCUACGGGAGGCAGCAGUAGGGAAUUUUUCACAAUGGGCGAAAGCCUGAUGGAGCAAUGCCGCGUGAAUGAUGAAGGUCUUACAGAUUGUAAAAUUCUUUUAUUUGGGAAGAACGACCACGAUAGGAAAUGAUCGUGGAAUGACUGUACCAUUUGAAUAAGUAUCGGCUAACUAUGUGCCAGCCGCCGCAGUAACAC